rnacentral:rRNA from 1 species
AGUCAAGUAAUUAAGUGCAUGUGGUGGAUGCCUUGGCAGUCAGAGGCGAUGAAAGACGUGAUAGCCUGCGAAAAGCUCCGGGGAGGCGGCAAAUAUCCUUUGAUCCGGAGAUGUCUGAAUGGGGGAACCCACCUACUUUAAGGUAGGUAUUGCAACAUGAAUACAUAGUGUUGCAAGGCGAACGAGGGGAAGUGAAACAUCUCAGUACCCUUAGGAAAAGAAAUCAAUUGAGAUUCCCUCAGUAGCGGCGAGCGAACGGGGAUCAGCCCAUUAAGUUAUGUGUGUUUUAGUGGAACGCUCUGGGAAGUGCGAACGUAGAGGGUGAUAUUCCCGUACACGAAAGGGCACACAUAAUGAUGACGAGUAGGGCGAGGCACGUGAAACCUUGUCUGAAUAUGGGGGGACCAUCCUCCAAGGCUAAAUACUCCUGACUGACCGAUAGUGAACCAGUACCGUGAGGGAAAGGCGAAAAGAACCCCUGUGAGGGGAGUGAAAUAGAUCCUGAAACCGCAUGCAUACAAGCAGUGGGAGCACCUUCGUGGUGUGACUGCGUACCUUUUGUAUAAUGGGUCAGCGACUUAUAUUCAGUAGCGAGGUUAACCGUAUAGGGGAGCCGUAGAGAAAUCGAGUCUUAAUAGGGCGUUUAGUUGCUGGGUAUAGACCCGAAACCAGGCGAUCUAUCCAUGAGCAGGUUGAAGGUUGGGUAACACUAACUGGAGGACCGAACCCACUGUCGUUGAAAAGCCAGGGGAUGACUUGUGGAUAGGGGUGAAAGGCUAAUCAAGCCUGGUGAUAGCUGGUUCUCCCCGAAAGCUAUUUAGGUAGCGCCUCGGACGAAUACCAUAGGGGGUAGAGCACUGUUUCGGCUAGGGGGUCAUCCCGACUUACCAAACCGAUGCAAACUCCGAAUACCUAUGAGUACUAUCCGGGAGACAGACUGCGGGUGCUAACGUCCGUAGUCAAGAGGAAAACAAUCCAGACCGCCAGCUAAGGCCCCAAAAUCAUAGUUAAGUGGGAAACGAUGUGGGAAGGCAUAGACAGCUAGGAGGUUGGCUUAGAAGCAGCCACCCUUUAAAGAAAGCGUAAUAGCUCACUAGUCGAGUCGGCCUGCGCGGAAGAUGUAACGGGGCUAAAACUAUGUGCCGAAGCUGCGGAUGUAUACUUUGUAUACGUGGUAGGGGAGCGUUCUGUAAGCCGAUGAAGGUGUGUUGAGAAGCAUGCUGGAGGUAUCAGAAGUGCGAAUGCUGACGUGAGUAACGACAAAACGGGUGAAAAACCCGUUCGCCGAAAGACCAAGGGUUCCAGUCCAACGUUAAUCGGGGCUGGGUGAGUCGACCCCUAAGGCGAGGCCGAAAGGCGUAGUCGAUGGGAAAAUGGUUAAUAUUCCAUUACUUCUGUGUAAUGCGAUGAGAGGACGGAGAAGGCUAAAUCAGCCUGGCGUUGGUUGUCCAGGUGAAAGGAUGUAGGCAUGUAUCUUAGGCAAAUCCGGGGUACUCUAUGCUGAGAUCUGAUAGCAAGCUGUACUUGUACAGCGAAGUGGUUGAUGCCAUGCUUCCAGGAAAAGUCUCUAAGCUUCAGUUACACAGGAAUCGUACCCGAAACCGACACAGGUGGUCAGGUCGAGUAGACCAAGGCGCUUGAGAGAACUCGCUGAAGGAACUAGGCAAAAUGGUACCGUAACUUCGGGAGAAGGUACGCUGUUGUUGGUGAUGGAACUCGCUUCCUGAGCUGACGACAGCCGCAGAAACCAGGCCGCUGCAACUGUUUAUUAAAAACAUAGCACUCUGCAAACACGAAAGUGGACGUAUAGGGUGUGAUGCCUGCCCGGUGCUGGAAGGUUAAUUGAUGGGGUUAGCGUAAGCGAAGCUCUUGAUCGAAGCCCCAGUAAACGGCGGCCGUAACUAUAACGGUCCUAAGGUAGCGAAAUUCCUUGUCGGGUAAGUUCCGACCUGCACGAAUGGCAUAAUGAUGGCGGCGCUGUCUCCAGCAGAGGCUCAGUGAAAUCGAAAUCGCUGUGAAGAUGCAGUGUACCCGCGGCUAGACGGAAAGACCCCGUGAACCUUUACUGCAGCUUGACACUGAACUUUGACCUUACUUGUGUAGGAUAGGUGGGAGGCUUUGAAGCUGGAACGCUAGUUCCAGUGGAGCCGUCCUUGAAAUACCACCCUGGUAAUGUUGAGGUUCUAACUCUGUCCCGUGAUCCGGGACGAGGACCGUGUCUGGUGGGUAGUUUGACUGGGGCGGUCUCCUCCUAAAGAGUAACGGAGGAGUACGAAGGUGCGCUCAGCGUGGUCGGAAAUCACGCGUAGAGUAUAAAGGCAAAAGCGCGCUUAACUGCGAGACCCACAAGUCGAGCAGGUACGAAAGUAGGUCUUAGUGAUCCGGUGGUUCUGUAUGGAAGGGCCAUCGCUCAACGGAUAAAAGGUACUCUGGGGAUAACAGGCUGAUACCGCCCAAGAGUUCAUAUCGACGGCGGUGUUUGGCACCUCGAUGUCGGCUCAUCUCAUCCUGGGGCUGAAGCAGGUCCCAAGGGUAUGGCUGUUCGCCAUUUAAAGAGGUACGCGAGCUGGGUUUAGAACGUCGUGAGACAGUUCGGUCCCUAUCUACCGUGGGCGCUGGAAAUUUGAGAGGAUCUGCUCCUAGUACGAGAGGACCAGAGUGGACGAACCUCUGGUGUACCGGUUGUGACGCCAGUCGCAUCGCCGGGUAGCUAUGUUCGGAAGGGAUAACCGCUGAAAGCAUCUAAGCGGGAAGCCUACCUCAAGAUAAGAUUUCCCUAGGACUUUAUGUCCUCUAAAGAGCCGUUCGAGACUAGGACGUUGAUAGGUUGGAUGUGGAAGCAUAGUGAUAUGUGAAGCUGACCAAUACUAAUUGCUCGUGAGGCUUGACUAU